rnacentral:rRNA from 1 species
AUGUUCUUGAACCACUCUAGGGCGACAUAUCCUCAAGUACCUCUAAUACCGGUGUUUGUCCUUGUCUGAUUUCUCAAGAGAAGCUUCGCUAGGCCAAAGUCUGAAAUCUUUGCGACAAGGUUGUCGUCAAGAAGAAUGUUCUGUGGCUUUAUGUCACAAUGGAUGAUUUGUGUGCUACACUCUUUAUGCAAGUAGAGCAACCCUCUUGCCACCCCAAGUGCGAUAUGA